CCUUAAAGGGAGACCUAAUUCGGGUAGGAGACGAAAAAAAAGUAGUCGCUACCAAGAAUCAAUCCCAAAAGGUCGGAGCGAGGCAAAAUUGGCUUUCAAACUAGGUUCUGGGUUCAAACAAGACCUGAAUCAGGAACAAGGGCUAUUAGCUCAGGUGGUUAGAGCGCACCCCUGAUAAGGGUGAGGUCCCUGGUUCGAGUCCAGGAUGGCCCACCUGCACAGGUGGAAAAAAGAAAAAAAGCUCCGAAUCAGCACCUUAUCUUACUUAUAUAGUAAGAGAGAAUGCUGGCUCUGAGUACAGAGUCCAGAGGAACCUUGAAAACUGC
rnacentral:tRNA from 1 species